AACGAACGCUGGCGGCGUGCCUAACACAUGCAAGUCGAACGAGAAGUACGUAGCAAUACGUAUUGUAAAGUGGCGAACGGGUGGGUAACACGUGGGUAACCUGCCCUCGAGCUUGGGAUAACCCCGCGAAAGCGGGGCUAAUACCGGAUAAGACCACGGGGACCAAAGUCCCUGGGGUAAAAGAUGGCCUCUAUUUAUAAGCUGUCACUUGAGGAUGGGCCCGCGGCCCAUUAGCUAGUUGGUGGGGUAACGGCUCACCAAGGCGAUGAUGGGUAGCUGGUCUGAGAGGACGAUCAGCCACACUGGAACUGAGACACGGUCCAGACUCCUACGGGAGGCAGCAGUGGGGAAUAUUGCGCAAUGGGCGAAAGCCUGACGCAGCAACGCCGCGUGGGGGAUGAAGGUUCUCGGAUUGUAAACCCCUUUCGACCGGAACGAAUCCCCUCCUGGUAAACAAUCAGGAGGGUCGACGGUACCGGGAGAAGAAGCCACGGCUAACUCUGUGCCAGCCGCCGCGGUAAUAC
rnacentral:rRNA from 1 species